AUUGAACGCUGGCGGCGUGCCUAACACAUGCAAGUCGAGCGGUAACAGGUGUAGCAAUACAUGCUGACGAGCGGCGAACGGGUGAGUAAUGCUUCGGAAUCUGCCCAUGUAGUGGGGAAUAACCAGCCGAAAGGUUGGCUAAUACCGCAUACGACCUACGGGUGAAAGCAGGGGAUCGCAAGACCUUGCGCUAUUGGAUGAGCCGAAGUCGGAUUAGCAGUUGGUAGGGUAACGGCCUACCAAGGCGACGAUCCGUAGCUGGUCUGAGAGGACGACCAGCCACACUGGGACUGAGACACGGCCCAGACUCCUACGGGAGGCAGCAGUGGGAAUAUUGGACAAUGGGGCAACCCUGAUCCAGCGACGCCGCGUGUGUGAAGAAGGCCUGCGGGUUGUAAAGCACUUUUAGUGGGAUGAAAAGCUCGGGGUUAAUACCUCCGGGUCUUG
rnacentral:rRNA from 1 species